UACAGAGGUGGCAAGCGUUGUUCGGAAUUACUGGGCGUAAAGGGCGCGUAGGCGGCCUUCUAAGUCAGACGUGAAAUCCCCAGGCUUAACUUGGGAACUGCGUCUGAUACUGGGAGGCUUGAGUGCGGGAGAGGGAUGUGGAAUUCCAGGUGUAGCGGUGAAAUGCGUAGAUAUCUGGAGGAACACCGGUGGCGAAGGCGGCAUCCUGGACCGACACUGACGCUGAGGCGCGAAAGCUAGGGGAGCAAACAGG
rnacentral:rRNA from 1 species